rnacentral:rRNA from 1 species
GACAGAGGCCUCGAGCGUUAGGCGGAAUCACUGGGCUUAAAGCGUGUGUAGGCGGGCCGUUAAGUGUCUUGUGAAAUCCCCCGGCUCAACCGGGGAACUGCUGGGCAUACUGGCGGCCUUGGGCCACCCAGGGGCGAGCGGAACAGGCGGUGGAGCGGUGAAAUGCGUAGAUAUCGCCUGGAACGCCGACGGUGAAAACAGCUCGCUGGGGGUGCGCCGACGCUGAGACACGAAAGCCAGGGGAGCGAACGGG